CCAGGGACCCCAAAAUUGGGCUCGAGGACCCUCCCCUCCCCCCUCCCCCCCAAUUUUGGGGCGAUUCCCCCAUUUUUGGGGAGGAGAUUUCCCCCAAUUUUUAUUUCGGGAGAAAUUCCCCCAUUUUUUUUUUUUUCCAGGGAAUUCCCCCAAUUUUGGGAAGAAAUCUCCCAUAUUUUUGGAAGGAAUUCCUCCAAUUUUUUUGGGAAGAAUUCCCCCAAUUUUUUUCAGGGAAUUCCCCCAAAUUUUUGCCAAGAAUUUUCCACAUUUUCAGAGAAAUUCCCCCGUAUUUUUGGGAAAAAAAUUCCCCAUUUUUUUGGGAAGAAUUCCCCCAUUUCUUCAGGAAAUUCCUCCCGAUUUUUGGGAAGAAUUUCCCCAUUUUUGAAAGAAUUCUCCGAUAUUUUUUUGGAAGAAUUUCCCCUAUUUUUUUUUGGGAAGAAUUCCCAGUUUUUUCAGGGAAUCUCCUCAUAUUUUUUGGAGGAAUUCUCCCAAAUUUUUGGGAAUAAUCCUCUCAUUUUCAGAGAAAUUCCCCCACAUUUUUGGGAAGAAUUCUCCCAUUUUCUGCAAAAUUCUCCCCUAUUUUUUGAAGGAAUUCCCCCACAUUUUUGGGAAGAAUUCUCCCAUUUUCAGAGAAAUUCCCCCCAAUUUUUUGAAAGAAUUCCCCCACAUUUUUGGGAAGAAUUCCCCCAAUUUUUUUGAAGGAAUUCCCCCAUUUUCGGAAGAAUUCUCCCAUAUUUUUUGAAAGAAUUUCCCCAUAUUUUUUAAGAUGAAUUCCCCCAUUUUCCAAGAAAUUCCCCCAAAUUUUUGAGAAGAAUUCCCCCAGUUUUUUUGGGAAUAAUUCCCCCAUUUUCAGAAGAAUUCUCCCAAUUUUUUGGGGGAAGAAUUUGCCCAUUUUUGGGUUGAAUUCCCCCAUUUUUGGAAGAAUUCCCCCAAUUUUUUUGGGGGAAUAAUUUGCCCAUUUUUGGGUGGAAUUCCCCCAUUUUUGGAAGAAUUCCCCCAAUUUUUUUGGGAAGAAUUUGCCCAUUUUUGGAAGAAUUCCCCCAAUAUUUUUGGGGAAGAAUUUGCCCAUUUUUGGGUGGAAUUCCCCCAUUUUCGGAAGAAUUCCCCCAAUUUUUUUGGGGAAGAAUUUGCCCAUUUUUGGGUUGAAUUCCCCCAUUUUUGGAAGAAUUCCCCCAAUUUUUUUGGGAAUAAUUUCCCCAUUUUUGGAAGAAUUCCUCCAAUAUUUUUGGGGAAGAAUUUGCCCAUUUUUGGGUUGAAUUCCCCCAUUUUUGGAAGAAUUCCCCCAAUUUUUUGGGAAGAAUUUGCCCAUUUUCAGNNNNNNNNNNNNNNNNNNNNCAAAAAAACUGGGGGAAUUCCCCCAAUUUUGGGAAGAAAUCUCCCAUAUUUUUGGAAGGAAUUCCUCCAAUUUUUUUGGGAAGAAUUCCCCCAAUUUUUUUCAGGGAAUUCCCCCAAAUUUUUGCCAAGAAUUUUCCACAUUUUCGGAGGAAUUCCCCCAAUUUUCAGAGAAAUUCUCCCGUAUUUUUUGAAGGAAUUCCCCCUAUUUUUUUUUGGGGAAGAAUUCCCAGUUUUUUCAGGGAAUCUCCUCAUAUUUUUUGGAGGAAUUCUCCCAAAUUUUUGGGAAUAAUCCUCUCAUUUUCAGAGAAAUUCCCCCACAUUUUUGGGAAGAAUUCCCCCAUUUUCUGCAAAAUUCUCCCCUAUUUUUUGAAGGAAUUCCCCCAAUUUUUUUGGGAAGAAUUCUCCCAUUUUCAGAGAAAUUCCCCCCAAUUUUUUGAAAGAAUUCCCCCACAUUUUUGGGAAGAAUUCCCCCAAUUUUCUUGGGGAAUAAUUCCCCCAUUUUUGGAAUAAUUCCUCCAAAUUUUCCCCCAAUUUUUUGGGGAAGAAUUCCCCCAUUUUCAGAAGAAUUCCCCCACAUUUCCCAAAGGAAUUCCCCCAUUCUUGGAAGAAUUCCUCCAAUUUUUUGGGGGGAAGAAUUUGCCCAUUUUUGGGUUGAAUUCCCCCAUUUUUGGAAGAAUUCCCCCAAUUUUUUGGGAAGAAUUUGCCCAUUUUCAGAAGAAUUCUCCCAAUUUUUUGGGGGAAGAAUUUGCCCAUUUUUGGGUUGAAUUCCCCCAUUUUCAGAAGAAUUCUCCCAAUUUUUUUGGGGAAGAAUUUGCCCAUUUUUGGGUUGAAUUCCCCCAAUUUUUUGGGAAUAAUUUCCCCAUUUUUGGAAGAAUUCCCCCAAUUUUUUUAGGAAGAAUUUGCCCAUUUUUGGGUUGAAUUCCCCCAUUUUCAGAAGAAUUCCCCCACAUUUCCCAAAGGAAUUCCCCCCUAUUUUCCAGGACCGUUUUUCCCGGGAACCCCCCCCCGUUUUUUGGGGCGAAUUCCCGCGUUUUUCGCUCAGUCCACGCGGACCAGCAGCCCGGCCAGCACGGUGGCCCCCGGCUCCUUGGUGACCCACUCCAGCUGGCCGGGGUCCAGCCCCUGGGGGGGCUCCAG
rnacentral:lncRNA from 1 species